rnacentral:rRNA from 1 species
GAUGAACGCUGGCGGCGUGCCUAAUACAUGCAAGUCGAGCGAAGCGGGGAGGGGUGAGUAAGACGUGGAGACCCUCCGAUAAGACCGGGAUAAAUUGGGGAAACCGGAGCUAAACCGGAUAAUUAUAGAUGGAUCCGCGAUGCACGAGCUAGUUGGUAAGGUAACGGCGUACCAAGGCAACGAUGCAUAGCCGACCUGAGAGGGUGAUCGGCCACACUGGAACUGAGACACGGUCCAGACUCCUACGGUAGGCAGCAGUAGGGAAUCUUCCGCAAUGGGCGAAAGCCUGACGGAGCAACGCCGCGUGAGUGAUGAAGGUCUUCGGAUCGUAAAACUCUGUUAUUAGGGAAGCGGUACCUAAUCAGAAAGCCACGGCUAACUACGUGCCAGCCGCCGCGGUAAUAC